rnacentral:rRNA from 1 species
GACGAACGCUGGCGGUGUGCUUAACACAUGCAAGUCGAACGGAAAGGCCCUGCUUUUGUGGGGUGCUCGAGUGGCGAACGGGUGAGUAACACGUGAGUAACCUGCCCUUGACUUUGGGAUAAUUUCAGGAAACUGGGGCUAAUACCGGAUAGGAGCUCCUGCUGCAUGGUGGGGGUUGGAAAGUUUCGGCGGUUGGGGAUGGACUCGCGGCUUAUCAGCUUGUUGGUGGGGUAGUGGCUUACCAAGGCUUUGACGGGUAGCCGGCCUGAGAGGGUGACCGGCCACAUUGGGACUGAGAUACGGCCCAGACUCCUACGGGAGGCAGCAGUGGGGAAUAUUGCACAAUGGGCGGAAGCCUGAUGCAGCAACGCCGCGUGCGGGAUGACGGCCUUCGGGUUGUAAACCGCUUUCGCCUGUGACGAAGCGUGAGUGACGGUAAUGGGUAAAGAAGCACCGGCUAACUACGUG